AAGACUAUAGACCUGCGGAGUACCUGCGGAAGGAUCAUUAACGUUGGGGACUAACAAUCCCUCAGCGGGAUAGAACCCUUGCCUUUUCGAGUACCACACGUUUCCUCGGCAGGUACGCCUGCCAAUGGGGACCACAACAAAACCUUUUGUAAUAGCAGUAAACGUCUUAAAAACAAAACUUUUAAAACUUUCAACAAUGGAUCUCU
rnacentral:misc_RNA from 1 species